rnacentral:rRNA from 1 species
CGAACAGAUAAGGAGCUUGCUCCUUUGACGUUAGCGGCGGACGGGUGAGUAACACGUGGGUAACCUACCUAUAAGACUGGAAUAACUCCGGGAAACCGGGGCUAAUGCCGGAUAACAUUUAGAACCGCAUGGUUCUAAAGUGAAAGAUGGUUUUGCUAUCCCUUAUAGAUGGACCCGCGCCGUAUUAGCUAGUUGGUAAGGUAAUGGCUUACCAAGGCAACGAUACGUAGCCGACCUGAGAGGGUGAUCGGCCACACUGGAACUGAGACACGGUCCAGACUCCUACGGGAGGCAGCAGUAGGGAAUCUUCCGCAAUGGGCGAAAGCCUGACGGAGCAACGCCGCGUGAGUGAUGAAGGGUUUCGGCUCGUAAAACUCUGUUAUUAGGGAAGAAC